rnacentral:rRNA from 1 species
AUUGAACGCUGGCGGCAUGCCUAACACAUGCAAGUCGAACGGAAACGAUGGAAGCUUGCUUCUAGGCGUCGAGUGGCGGACGGGUGAGUAAUGCUUAGGAAUCUGCCCAAUAGUGGGGGACAACUCGGGGAAACUCGAGCUAAUACCGCAUACGCCCUACGGGGGAAAGCAGGGGAUCUUCGGACCUUGCGCUAUUGGAUGAGCCUAAGUCGGAUUAGCUUGUUGGUGAGGUAAAGGCUCACCAAGGCGACGAUCCGUAGCUGGUCUGAGAGGACGAUCAGCCACACUGGGACUGAGACACGGCCCAGACUCCUACGGGAGGCAGCAGUGGGGAAUAUUGGACAAUGGGGGCAACCCUGAUCCAGCAAUGCCGCGUGUGUGAAGAAGGC